GACGAACGCUGGCGGCGUGCUUAACACAUGCAAGUCGAGCGGUAAGGCCCUUUCGGGGGUACACGAGCGGCGAACGGGUGAGUAACACGUGGGUGACCUGCCCUCAGCUCUGGGAUAAGCCUGGGAAACCGGGUCUAAUACCGGAUAUGACUCCAUGACGCAUGUUGUGGGGUGGAAAGCCUUGUGCGGCUGAGGAUGGGCCCGCGGCCUAUCAGCUUGUUGGUGGGGUGAUGGCCUACCAAGGCGACGACGGGUAGCCGGCCUGAGAGGGCGACCGGCCACACUGGGACUGAGACACGGCCCAGACUCCUACGGGAGGCAGCAGUGGGGAAUCUUGCGCAAUGGGCGAAAGCCUGACGCAGCGACGCCGCGUGAGGGAUGACGGCCUUGG
rnacentral:rRNA from 1 species